UAACACGUGAGUAACCUGCCCCCGAGAGUGGGAUAGCCCUGGGAAACUGGGAUUAAUACCGCAUAGAAUCGCAAGAUUAAAGCAGCAAUGCGCUUGGGGAUGGGCUCGCGGCCUAUUAGUUAGUUGGUGAGGUAACGGCUCACCAAGGCGAUGACGGGUAGCCGGUCUGAGAGGAUGUCCGGCCACACUGGAACUGAGACACGGUCCAGACACCUACGGGUGGCAGCAGUCGAGAAUCAUUCACAAUGGGGGAAACCCUGAUGGUGCGACGCCGCGUGGGGGAAUGAAGGUCUUCGGAUUGUAAACCCCUGUCAUGUGGGAGCAAAUUAAAAAGAUAGUACCACAAGAGGAAGAGACGGCUAACUCUGUGCCAGCAGCCGCGGUAAUACAGAGGUCUCAAGCGUUGUUCGGAAUCACUGGGCGUAAAGCGUGCGUAGGCUGUUUCGUAAGCCGUGUGUGAAAGGCGCGGGCUCAACCCGCGGACGGCACAUGAUACUGCGAGACUAGAGUAAUGGAGGGGGAACCGGAAUUCUCGGUGUAGCAGUGAAAUGCGUAGAUAUCGAGAGGAACACUCGUGGCGAAGGCGGGUUCCUGGACAUUAACCGACGCUGAGGCACGAAGGCCAGGGGAGCGAAAGGGAUUAGAUACCCCUGUAGUCCUGGCAGUAAACGGUGCACGCUUGGUGU
rnacentral:rRNA from 1 species